UAUUUUUUGCCACCGGGUAAAAACUAUGCACCUAAGGCGUUCCGUUAGGUCUUUGAAGGAGCGUACAGGUGCUUUUUUAUUA
rnacentral:ncRNA from 1 species